UUUAUUUCCGUUUUUAGUUGUUAGAAAAGAAAAAGAAAGCAAAAAUACAAAAAAAUGAGUUGUGCCACGACCAAAACUAAGGCGUUGAGUGGGAGGCAACCCACUUUUUUUUACGAUAUUUUAUUUUUUUUGUUUAGUAUACAGAGAUGAGAGAAUUGAAACCAAGGAUAAUAUCAUGUCCAAGGAAGCAAUCAAGUUUGAAAAACGACCUGUGUAAGUUAGGUACAAUAUCAGGUAGGAAAAUGGGUUGAAAAAUACAUCAAAUAUGUGAAUUAUGGUGUCGCUGUGUCGUGAUGUGUAGUCAAACCACAAUUAUCAAUUACCAGUGAAUCAUCGCAAUUUCACCGCAUCGUGGUGUAAAGUUAAAACACAAAAAAUGUUUCAAUUUUCAUGAUCACCGCGACGCGGUGGGGGACCAAUUUGCAAUUGUCAUGAGAUUGAAUGUGAGGUGGGGGGCCAUUUUUGAAUUUUUUAUUUAUUAUUCUGCUGGGUUCAACCCGACCGACCCGGACUCAAACUACUCCACUUUAUAACCCUAAACCCUCUGACUCUGUGAUUCUCUAACCUUAAGCACCGCCCACCCACCCCCAUAAUAAGAAUUUCUCUCUUUUUCUUCACUUUCAAUUCUUUCACUCAACACAACUAAGACACCAUGGAGCAGAGAUAACCAAAAGGCAAGGGAAAGACUGGUACUUCUGAGACAACUAGGAAAUGAAGCAGGCAACCAGAAAGGCAAAUUGAUAGGGUGCCACGUGCUCCACCAGUGCCGCGCGGUCAGUCAAGGAGAUUUGGAUUUAAGGUAGUCAGACAAGCAUGCAAAAAGUGGUAUACUAAACACCUCGACACAAAAUACAUCAUAAGGUGAAGGUUCGUGGCAAAGUGGUCAGAUUUACAACUGCAGACAUAAAUGAUUUGCUGGGAGUUCCUGAAGCUGAUGCAAACCAGUUUAGGCAGCUGAUUGUCACUCCUCUAUGCUCAUAUUAGACACUUGUUGUGUGGUACUCGUUCGGCUAUGAGGUGGACAAAGACAGCAAGGCAUAGAUCUUCAUUCUUCCUUCCCGUAUGCACAAAUAAACUAGGAGGCACGUAUAUGGGGACGAAUUGCUUACCAUUGCCUUAUUCAAGGCAAAUAUAUGACAGAAGUUACAAGUGAUCGGGUAUGCUUGAUUUAUGCUCUCAUAUGCAAUGAUAUUGACAUUAAUGUAGGCCAUCUGAUCUUUUCUGCUAUGAAGAAGGCGUGCUACCAUGAGGGGCGCAGAUAUUGCUUGGAGGUUUGUUGACUUGGUUUUUAAGGAGGCACCGAGUAGAGGAGGAGGGGUUAGACUACAAACCAGUGGUGGAUGCUUGCCCUAUUGAUGUCACUACAGUUAGGUGCACAGCUGGAGCUCAGGGAUCGAUCCUUACAAUGUCCGAGCGUCAAGGUCGGACUGAUGAAAUCACUGCUAGAAUGUAUGGAUUAUAGAUGCUGCAGCUGUGGGUUGGGAGAGAGCAACCACCAAUAAAGAGAUUCGUACUGUGGAGCUGGAUUACCCCUUGGGCCAUCAUGCCUGGACACUACUGAGGAUUAGUGCCAAAUUUUGUGGAGCCGGUUGAUGAUGAUAUGCCGAUAGAUGAGGAGCGACAAUGGUGUGACUCAGAUAUUGAUUCAAAUGUUGAUGAGCAGCCCAAUGAAGAAGAUGUAGAUGAUGAUGAGGAAGAUGAUGCCGGCGAUGAUGCCGAUGACACAAAUGAUGAUAUGGCUGAGGCCUAAAUAGGGAGUGUUCAGCUACCUCACCAUUUGAGCUUAUUUGUAAGCACUGAGACAGUGCUUCAUUUAAGUGUGGGGUGGUUGUAUCUCGCAUCUUCUUCUCUUUAUCUUGUUAUUUUGUUAGAUAAUUUUUAUUUCUGUUUUUGGGAUGUUUUAAGUUUUAUUUUUCUGUCGGGAUGUUGAACAUAGCCAUUUCUAGCUAUUCGAAACAGUAUGUUUGUAAUAGUUAGUAAUGAUUUAGUAAUGUUUUUUUUUUUAAGUUUAAA